UGACGUGGAUGCUAGUCUCAUAGGUUAAGCCAUGCAUGUGGAAGCGAAGCCUUUUAUGGUGGAGCGGCGUACGGCUCAGUAACGGGCGAUCGAUUUGAUCUGCCUAUACGGACAUCCUCUGUAAACGGAGGGUAAAACGUAAGGGGGGCUUCCUUACGGAAGUUCGCCAAACCUGUAAAGGUGAGGCAGAGUAAGAAGCCAUCCCAUCAGUUAUUAAGUAGGGUAAGGGCCUACUUAGACGAAGACGGGUACGGGGAAUUAUCGUUUGAUUCCGGAGAGGGAGCCUGAGAGACGGCUACCGGGUCCAAGGACAACAGCAGGCGCGAAAAUUACCGCAGCCUGCGAUCAGGGCGGUAGUAAGGAGACGUGAUGACGAAGUGCUGAUAAAAGCUGCACUAGUGACAGGAGGAAAAGACUGGUGCCAGCACCCGCGGUAAUACCAGCUCCUGGAGUGUCUAUGAUGAUUGCUGCAGUUAAAGAGUUCGUAGCCGAGGCAUUAUUAACUGCGUUAAAGGGGAUAUCUCAAAUAUCCCUGUGCGCAGUGAUUUUGCAGAAUAAGGAGUGCUUAGGGGCCAGAGUAUCAUACGGCGACUGGUGAAAUGGGAUGACCCGUGUGGGAGUAACAGAGGCGAAAGUGCUGGCCAGGGGCGAGUCCGAUGGUAAAGGACGUAGGCUAGAGGAUCGAAGACGAUUAGAGACCGUUGUAGUUCUAGCAGUAAACGAUGCCGAUGUUGUGGUGCCGAAUAAUGGCGACGCGAAAGAGAAAUCGAGUAGGGCCCUGGGGAGAGUACACGCGCAAGCGAGAAAUUUAAAGGAAAUUGACGGAAGAACACCACAAGGAGUGGAGUGUGCGGCUUAAUUUGACUCAACGCGGGACAACUUACCGGGCCCGACGACCGUAAGAGUGUAACACACGAUAGGUCGAAGAGUGGUGCAUGGCCGUUA
rnacentral:rRNA from 1 species